UAAUGGAUGUAAUGAAUUAGUGGACGCUGAAUUGAUGGAUACAUUGGAUGGUUGGUUUCUCGAUUGAUGUGCUUAGAUUGAUGGUCCACUGUGUCUAUGAAAUAAUUUUGAGAUGGACAGAGCAUGCAUACAUCGAGAGGUCUUGCAGUGUGUACCCAAGACAAUGACUUGCAAUGUAGUAGUGGUUCUCAUCCAAUCAUUCAUCUCUCAUGUAAUUAUAAAAUAUGGAGGCAUUUUUACCUUUGCUGUUUCAUACCUUACUUCAUUUAAUCAUUAUUUCCAGUGACAGCAAGAAUUAGUAUUCAGGCUGCAACUAUGAGUAGUGCUAUUCCAGGUCCAUCAUAACCAUGGGUCCCUGUAGAUGUCGGAUUCUAUGGGUUCCUUUUUUUUACUUGGACUAUCAAUGCACAUGCUUUCCUUCUCAAUUUCAGCAUUUUUCCAUGAUACCAUACCUCAAAUUUGAUGGUGCCAACUGCCAAUUAACUUCAGAAAUAUCUGGUACAUGUCCAUAAGUUCUGGUAGGACUGUAGGAAUCAAAAAAUCACUCUGUUUAGAACACUUAUUAUAGGGAUUUCCAUGCUUUUAAAAAACUUUAAUUAUAUAAUUAAUGUAAAAUCAAAGUUUACAAUAGGUAUUCUAUUUGCGAGGUCAAAAGCAUUGUUAUUCAUAGAGGGACACCUAUGCCAUAUAUUGCACCAUUUAGGUUUUUAGUACCCACUGAUAAAUAUUCCGUCUGCCUUUUGAUAAUAUGGUUGUUGAUUUUCAUUGAUAUUAUGGUCAUACCAUUCUUGGUAAUACAUACAUCUUGCUGGUAGCUAGCUCGGACACAAGUAAUGCUAAUAUUCAAUCAAGGAAACGUUCUCUAUCACUGCUUAUCCUAAUCCUUUUGUUCCAACGGGUGUAAUUCUUUUGCAGACUCACAUCGAGCUUGUUGUGUCUGCUGGCUUUGUUCUAUUUUUCGAUUUUGUUGCUGGUCCUUUUCCUGCUAUCGGUGAGCUUUUGGUCAUGUGUGCUGGACAACAUUGCCAGUGGGUCACAGGGGCCGGGAAGGAAACGGCGUGGAAUGGUCGAUCCCGAGGGUGCAGAGGUGCUUUGAGCUCCGCCUCUCUGACCGCCACAUCCUAAAGUUCAGUUACGCGUGUGUAAUUAUGGUUCAGUUCCAUGCACCAAUCAUGGAUACCUCUACCAAGUCGUUCUCGCCGUUUGGUAUGGAGGUCUUUCUCCUCGACAUGAAACUCGCAUCUGAAUCUGUCCCCAUGGAUUUGGGAGCCCCGACCUAAUUUACCAUGUUCGCAUCCAGGUAACACACACCAGUGAUAUCACCACUCCUCCUUGAUUUUACAGAGUUCAUAUAGGAUGCCUCUUUUGCUGGUAACAAAUGAAGUAUAAACUUUUUGUCAGUUGUUUUAGUUGAGGGACAUGACAGAUUAGGUUUUAGUUUUCAUAUAUGACCAAUAUUGAUUGAUUCCAUAAUACUGAUUUAUUACAACUUUUUACUAAAUCAGAGUCAAUUAAUAGGGAACACAGGGAGUACUUGCUUGCUUAUAUCACACCCUUUUCAUGCUACCCCCUUCAAAAAAAGAUUGGCAAUUGAAAUUCUUUGGACAGUUAAUCAACAGUUGACAAAAAACAUUCAACCUGCUGUCGACGAUGUCCAGUCUUAUUCACUUGCAUUUCUUUUCACAUUUAAUGACAUGACACUUUCCUUUGAAUCUUUUACUAGUUCAUUGCUCUCUGAUCUGCUUAUAUUUUGAUUAGUUUUUAUUUAACCUUUUGUUGUGUAGAAUAAGAUUGUAUAGGGAUCUGUCGAUGUCGAACUAUUCUUAGAGGCUGCACUUGGUUUAUAUUAUGGGAAAGUAAACAAACCUGACAGGCUAAAGGUGAUCAUUGUAUUGCUUACUGCUUAGGGACAUGUUACGGUUACACAAUCAAACAUGAAUUGGAUUUAUUGUGUUCUCAGCUACUCAACUUACCUCUAAUUCGGAACAUACAUUCUGUAGGCUCUUUUACUUCUUGCAUGCUCCAUUGAGGCAGAUCCAAGCACAAUUAUUCUGUGGGUGUUUUAUCUUCAUAUUUACUAUCAAAAGGAUGAAGGACUUGGAAC